UGAGGCUACCAAGGAAUGAAGAAAAUAAAGAGAGAAUAGAUAACACACCCAGAAAAAGGAGAGAAUAAACUUUUAAAAAAGAAAAUGCAUUUUUGGAUCUUGAAUCUCAAUAUGCAAUAAAUUUAAAUCAUACAUCAAAUUCCAAUUAAAGCUUACUGUCUCUUAAUGACUUGGCUCUCCAAGUUAAUUAGUGCUUUGAAUUUGAAAUAUGAAGACACAUGUUUCAAUUUUCAAUUUCAAUUGAUUUUUGUUUCUGGAUUUUUUAUUUUGAUAAGUUCCAUGUUCUUGAGAACUGAGAAGACCAGAUAAACUUCAAUUUAUUCAAAUCGAAUAAAAAAAUUUAAUUAGUUUUUGUUGGCUAACAAUUUUACGAAAUGAAAAAAUGUGUAAUAAUAUCACAUUCUCAUCAUAUGUUUUCAUACUUUUUAUAUCCUUUGGAGGAAUUGUUACUGUAGAAUUGCACUUUUUGGCGGAUGCAUUUAUCCCCAUUCCAUGCCUAAAACACAAAAAUCUAUUUUCCCAAGUCUCUUGACACCCUGGACCGCACAUAUCAUCCCUAAUACUUAAUACUUAUAGACAAAUUCCUAAAAACCAUACGACUGAAGACUGAACAUCUAGUUUCUGAGUGAUAAUCUGGAGUACAAGCUUGCAUUCGUCAAUUCUUUUUACUUCAGACUUGUUGCAAAAUUGCAGGUCAAGAGAGCCUUCUUCAAAUUAAGCAAAACCCGUUUCUGAUUCUUUGUCAGUCCCAGAACUUGAUCGGGUGAUGCAUCCUCAACCUCAAUACACACUGAUGAGUGUGGAAUUGCCAUAUAUCUGUCAGAUUUAGAAGCAUUUGCGAAUGGGAAUACGGUCCAUAACAACUCGCAGUGCAUAUGUCAUUAAGCCUGGCUCCUUCCUUUCCAGCUUCAUGUAGAAGAGUAAAGAGUUGUUGUUUGGACAACAUCAAUACUAAUGUCGAUAUCCAGGUAUUUGUAACCAGUUGGUAAGAGAAGUUCAGAUAUUACGCAUUCCAUUUCCUGCAAACAGGAAAAUACAAUACUAAAUCAUAUCAUGUGGACCAGUGAUGUACCAGUUCACAAAAUAUUUUUUUCCGAUUUCGUGUAAACAAAUCAACACAGAUCAUAUGAAGAAGUUAUAUUAUUUAUAUUGA